rnacentral:rRNA from 1 species
ACGAACGCUGGCGGCGUGCCUAACACAUGCAAGUCGAGCGGAGGUAUCAGCAAUGGUACUCGAGCGGCGGACGGGUGAGUAACGCGUGGGUAACCUGCCUCACACAGUGGGAUAACUCUGGGAAACCAGAGCUAAUACCGCAUAACACAACUGAAUGGCAUCACUUAGUUGUCAAAGGAGCAAUCCGGUGUAAGAUGGACCCGCGUCCGAUUAGCUAGUUGGUGAGGUAAUGGCCCACCAAGGCGACGAUCGGUAGCCGGACUGAGAGGUUGAACGGCCACAUUGGGACUGAGACACGGCCCAGACUCCUACGGGAGGCAGCAGUGGGGAAUAUUGCGCAAUGGGGGAAACCCUGACGCAGCAACGCCGCGUGAAGGAAGAAGGUCUUCGGAUUGUAAACUUCUUUGAUUGGGGAAGAAAAAAAUGACGGUACCCAAAGAACAAGCCACGGCUAACUACGU